rnacentral:lncRNA from 1 species
AAAAGUGAGUUAGGCUUCUAUGCUUUUGAAAUAUGAAGGCCUUCGUACUUAUAAAUUAUUUUUAAUGAUAUGAUAUUUGAUUCGACAAUCGGUUACAUUAGAUAUGAUCUAUUAUGUUGGAAUUAUCUAGAAAUCAAAUUUCAUAAUUUUUUUUUUACUUUGUUUUCGUAAACGAGUAGUCUCAAAAUAAACAGCUAAAAAUAAUGAUCCUGUAAAAAACUGUGACAAAAGACUUAAAUUUUAAAUUGAAGAUAUUGAUCUUGCUCUAAUGGUAAGUAAAUUUUUUUAUUAAAAUUUCACAUAAUUUGGAUUGUUCUAAACUAUUGAACUCACAAACGUGUUACAUCGGCCAUUAAAAUAAUCAUUUUUUGAGUCCCUUAGAUCACUUGGUAAAUAAUAUUGUAAAAUUAUAAAAUUUAAUUUUUAAAUAGUUCUGAUAGCAUAAGUGAUGCUAACAAAACUAAUCAUCGAAUAAGAUAUCAUAUCAUAAAAUAUAAAGCACGCAUAGAUG